rnacentral:rRNA from 1 species
AUUGAACGCUGGCGGCAGGCCUAACACAUGCAAGUCGAACGGUAACAGGAAGACGCUUGCUUCUUUGCUGACGAGUGGCGGUCGGGUGAGUAAUGUCUGGGAAACUGCCUGAUGGAGGGGGAUAACUACUGGAAACGGUAGCUAAUACCGCAUAACGUCGCAAGACCAAAGAGGGGGACCUUCGGGCCUCUUGCCAUCGGAUGUGCCCAGAUGGGAUUAGCUAGUAGGUGGGGUAACGGCUCACCUAGGCGACGAUCCCUAGCUGGUCUGAGAGGAUGACCAGCCACACUGGAACUGAGACACGGUCCAGACUCCUACGGGAGGCAGCAGUGGGGAAUAUUGCACAAUGGGCGCAAGCCUGAUGCAGCCAUGCCGCGUGUAUGAAGAAGGCCUUCGGGUUGUAAAGUACUUUCAGCGGGGAGGAAGGGAGUAAAGUUAAUACCUUUGCUCAUUGACGUUACCCGCAGAAGAAGCACCGGCUAACUCCGUG